CCUAAACGUGUAUAAUCACUAAAGGGAGAAUUGAAAGUAAGUUUUAAUUCACAAUCGAUCUGAAAGAGUUCUAAUCGCCCACUGCCUCGCUAAAAGGAACCUAAUGGAUCGUACACCGUGUAAGGUAGAAAUUGAAGAAACAAAGGAGAUGAGUAAGAAUAAUUAAAUGGUUUGAUUAUUUAUUUAUGGCAAGGAUUAAUU
rnacentral:lncRNA from 1 species